AACGUAGGUGGCGAGCGUUAUCCGGAAUUACUGGGCGUAAAGCGUGUGCAGGCGGGCUGACAAGUGGUGUAUGAAAUAUCCCGGCUUAACCGGGAGGGGUUAUGCCAGACUGUCAGUCUUGAGUGCGAGAGAGGAGCGUGGAAUUCCGGGUGUAGUGGUGAAAUGCGUAGAUAUCGGGAGGAAUACCAGUGGCGAAGGCGGCUUCCUGGCCUGUUCUUGACGCUGAGGCGCGAAAGCUAGGGUAGCAAACGGG
rnacentral:rRNA from 1 species